AAUCUGUGUUAAAAAAUUCUUUGCUCACUUUGGAACAAUACAGAGAAGAUUAGAAUGGCCCCUGUACAAGGAUGAUACGCAAAUUCAUGAAGAUUCUAUAUUUAA